GUCAAGCCAUGGAAGCUGGGGGUACCUGAAGACGGUCACCGCAAGGAGCUGUUUAGGGUAAAACUAGUGACUGGGGCUAAGUCGUAACAAGGUAGCCGUACCGGAAGGUGCGGCUGGAACACCUCCUUU
rnacentral:rRNA from 1 species